AGAGUUUGAUCCUGGCUCAGAACGAACGCUGGCGGCGCGUUUUAAGCAUGCAAGUCGGACGGCAAGAGUGGUAGCAAUACUGCUCCUAGAGUGGCGAACGGGUGAGUAAGACGUAGGUGAUCUACCUCUGGAUGGGGGAUAGUCCGUGGAAACACGGGGUAAUACCGCAUGAGGCCUUGUGGGUGGAGCCAUGAGGUGAAAGGUGCAAUUGCAUCGUCUGGGGAUGAGCCUGCGGUCCAUUAGGUAGUUGGCGGGGUAAGAGCCCACCAAGCCGACGAUGGAUAGCCGGCCUGAGAGGGUGUACGGCCACACUGGAACUGAGACACGGUCCAGACUCCUACGGGAGGCAGCAGCUAAGAAUCUUCCGCAAUGGGGGAAACCCUGACGGAGCGACGCCGCGUGGACGAUGGAGGCCGUAAGGUUGUAAAGUCCUUUUCCUGGUGAAGAAUAGGUAGGGGAGUGGAAAGCCCCUAUGAUGACGUUAGCCAGGGAAUAAGCCCCGGCCAAUUACGUGCCAGCAGCCGCGGUAAUACGUAUGGGGCAAGCGUUGUUCGGAGUUAUUGGGCGUAAAGGGCGUGUAGGCGGCUCAUCAAGUCUGGUGUGAAAUUGCAGGGCCCAACCCUGCAGAUGCGCUGGAAACUGGUGGGCUAGAGUUCUUGAGGGGAAGCUGGAAUUCCAGGUGUAGGGGUGAAAUCUGUAGAUAUCUGGAAGAACACCGGUGGCGAAGGCGAGCUUCUAUCAGAGGACUGACGCUGAGGCGCGAAAGCGUGGGGAGCAAACAGGAUUAGAUACCCUGGUAGUCCACGCUGUAAACGAUGUGCACUAGCGUGGGGCACGUACGUGCUCUGUGCCGUAGCUAACGCGAUAAGUGCACCGCCUGGGGAGUAUGCUCGCAAGGGUGAACUCAAGAUUGACGGGGCCGCACAGCGUGAGCAUGUGUUUAUCGAUGUACACGAGACCUACCAGGCUUGACAUGUGCGUGG
rnacentral:rRNA from 1 species